GACGAACGCUGGCGGCGUGCUUAACACAUGCAAGUCGAACGGAAAGGCCCUGCUUUUGUGCUGUGCUCGAUUGGCAAACGCGUGAGUAACACGUGAGUAACCUGCCCUUGACUUUGGGAUAACUUCAGGAAACUGGGGCUAAUCCCGUAUCGGAUCUCCUGCUGCAUGGUGGGGGUUGAAAAGUUUCGGCGGUUGGGGAUGGACUCGCGGCUUAUCAGCUUGUUGGUGGGGUAGUGGCUUACCAAGGCUUUGACGGGUAGCCGGCCUGAGAGGGUGACCGGCCACAUUGGGACUGAGAUACGGCCCAGACUCCUACGGGAGGCAGCAGUGGGGAAUAUUGCACAAUGGGCGGAAGCCGGAUGCAGCAACGCCGCGUGCGGGAUGACGGCCUUCGGGUUGUAAACCGCUUUCGCCUGUGACGAAGCGUGAGUGACGGUAAUGGGUAAAGAAGCACCGGCUAACUACGUG
rnacentral:rRNA from 1 species